rnacentral:rRNA from 1 species
AGAGUUUGAUCAUGGCUCAGAUUGAACGCUGGCGGCAUGCCUAACACAUGCAAGUCGAACGGCAGCACGGCAGUAGCAAUACUGUGGGUGGCGAGUGGCGGACGGGUGAGGAAUACGUCGGAAUCUGCCCAGUCGUGGGGGAUAACUAGCCGAAAGGUUAGCUAAUACCGCAUACGACCGAGAGGUGAAAGCGGGGGACCGCAAGGCCUCGCGCGAUUGGAUGAGCCGACGUCGGAUUAGCUAGUUGGUAGGGUAAAGGCCUACCAAGGCGACGAUCCGUAGCUGGUCUGAGAGGAUGAUCAGCCACACUGGAACUGAGACACGGUCCAGACUCCUACGGGAGGCAGCAGUGGGGAAUAUUGGACAAUGGGCGCAAGCCUGAUCCAGCAAUGCCGCGUGUGUGAAGAAGGCCUUCGGGUUGUAAAGCACUUUUAUCAGGAACGAAAAGCGUGGGGCUAAUACCUUUACGUGCUGACGGUACCUGAGAAUAGCCC